AUACGUAGGGGGCGAGCGUUGUCCGGAAUGAUUGGGCGUAAAGGGCGUGUAGGCGGCGCGGUAAGUCUGGAGUGAAAGUCCUGCUUUCAAGGUGGGAAUUGCUUUGGAUACUGCCGCGCUUGAGUGCAGGAGAGGUUAUCGGAAUUCCCGGUGUAGCGGUGAAAUGCGUAGAGAUCGGGAGGAACACCAGUGGCGAAGGCGGCUAACUGGACUGCGACUGACGCUGAGGCGCGAAAGGGUGGGGAGCAAACAGGAUUAGAUACCCUGGUAGUCCACGCUGUAAACGAUGAAUGCUAGGUGUAGGGGGUAUCGACCCCUUCUGUGCCGCAGUCAACACAAUAAGCAUUCCGCCUGGGGAGUACGGCCGCAAGGUUGAAACUCAAAUGAAUUGACGGGU
rnacentral:rRNA from 1 species